AUGUGCCGGGUGCGAGUUCGGAGCCCCCCACUCUCUGGUCGCGAGCGCGGGCCGGCGAGGGGCUCGGGCGGGCUGCACCCACCCCCACCCCCACCCCCACCCCGAGGCUGGGCCCUGAAGGCCCUGGAGCGGCCUGUCCCGGGAGGACGUGUCCACUCGGACCCGCUCCGAAAGUUCACUCCGUCGCCACCCCGCGUCCCGUCCCGUGCCAGCGUGCCGGUCCCCAGUCGCCGGGCCCACGUCCCGGUCUCGGCUUCUUCCUGUUUGCCUCCGUGUGUUCCUGCUUUCCAGUUCCAGCCCUGCAGCCCCAGGGCCUCUCCCGGGGUGCCCGUGUUCCCCUCCCGCGGUCUCCGUGUGCUCCCUCCCGGGGUGCCCGUGUUCCUCCCCGGGGUCUCCGUGUGCUCCCUCCCGGGGUGCCCGUGUUCCUCCCGGGGUCUCCGUGUUCCCUCUGGCUGGAGCUCCCCGCCCCUCUCUGCCUUCUCCCCGCUGCGUCUCCGUGCUUUCCUCCCCAGGUGUUCAGCCCUCUUGGCGCCCCACACCCCCUCUGCGGGGUCCCCUCCCCCAUGCCCAUGGAAUGCUGCCCCUCAGGUUCUUCCGCCCCUGAGCCGGGGAGGGCCUGGCCUUUCUCCCCAUUUCAACAACCCCCUCCCCAGUGCCGGGCCCCAGUGCAGCAGCCUGAGGGGGGUGGGGAGGGUGGGGAGUACAACCUGUCUGAGCUGGGAGAUGGGGGGGGGGGCUCUCUGGAUUCCCCUGGAGGGAGCAGCAGGGCCCGGCCGGGAUGCUGGUGGCUGCGGCCCCACCUUGGCUUCUGAAGGGACCAGGGCCGGGAUCCAAAGGGACCCUGAGCCAAAUCAUCUGGCUGGCGACUCCAGGAGCGUGCCCGGGACUGGGGGGUUGGGGGGCCUGGGGAGCUGUGCAGGGGGGGCUGGCUGGGAAGGGGUCCUCUCGGGGAGCCUCUGGCAGCCUCAGGGAGCAGGUGGGAUCCAGACGGGAGUCCUGGUAAUUCUGGGCUUGGCUCCACGUUAA
rnacentral:lncRNA from 1 species